GCGGCGGCGGCGGUGAAAGGACGUUCGCCUAAUCAGCUCUUUUUGCUUACCCAGACUACCUGAAAACGGUUGCCGUGGCUACGGAAUCACAUCUUGACGUCACUGAGCCUGCGGAAGUGUUUACGUGUUUCCGGCGUCGACAUCGUACCUGGACACACGGGUGGCGGCGGCGGCGGUGAAAGGACGUUCGCCUAAUCAGCUCUUUUUGCUUACCCAGACUACCUGAAAACGGUUGCCGUGGCUACGGAAUCACAUCUUGACGUCACUGAGCCUGCGGAAGUGUUUACGUGUUUCCGGCGUCGACAUCGUACCUGGACACACGGGUGGCGGCGGCGGCGGUGAAAGGACGUUCGCCUAAUCAGCUCUUUUUGCUUACCCAGGUUGGUAAAUUCGCUUAUUUCUCAAUACCGCCUUACCGCCACCGCCGUUGCCACCGUGUUUCAGUGCUUUGCUGAGUUCUCUGUGCAUAAUGUGCCUUUUUCCUAAUUGAAUGCUCCCGAAUUGAGUGCGAACUGAGUGCUACUGUGAAUGCCUGGACAACGUACCAUGACAAGCACGUGCCAGUCUUGUGAUGAGCCCCUCCCCUGUGAUGGGCGUG